rnacentral:sRNA from 1 species
GCCAGGCGUGGUGGUGCAUGCCUAUAAUCCCAGCAACUUGGGAGGCUAAGGCAGGAGGAUCGUGAGUUCAAAGCCAGCCUCAGCAAAAGCGAGGCACUAAGUAACUCAGUGAGACCCUGUCUCUA